rnacentral:rRNA from 1 species
GAUGAACGCUGGCGGCGUGCCUAAUACAUGCAAGUCGAGCGAACAGACGAGGAGCUUGCUCCUCUGACGUUAGCGGCGGACGGGUGAGUAACACGUGGAUAACCUACCUAUAAGACUGGGAUAACUUCGGGAAACCGGAGCUAAUACCGGAUAAUAUAUUGAACCGCAUGGUUCAAUAGUGAAAGACGGUUUUGCUGUCACUUAUAGAUGGAUCCGCGCCGCAUUAGCUAGUUGGUAAGGUAACAGCUUACCAAGGCAACGAUGCGUAGCCGACCUGAGAGGGUGAUCGGCCACACUGGAACUGAGACACGGUCCAGACUCCUACGGGAGGCAGCAGUAGGGAAUCUUCCGCAAUGGGCGAAAGCCUGACGGAGCAACGCCGCGUGAGUGAUGAAGGUCUUCGGAUCGUAAAACUCUGUUAUUAGGGAAGAACAAACGUGUAAGUAACUAUGCACGUCUUGACGGUACCUAAUCAGAAAGCCACGGCUAACUACGUG